GAUGAACGCUGGCGGCGUGCCUAAUACAUGCAAGUCGAGCGAACAGACGAGGAGCUUGCUCCUCUGACGUUAGCGGCGGACGGGUGAGUAACACGUGGAUAACCUACCUAUAAGACUGGGAUAACUUCGGGAAACCGGAGCUAAUACCGGAUAAUAUAUUGAACCGCAUGGUUCAAUAGUGAAAGACGGUUUUGCUGUCACUUAUAGAUGGAUCCGCGCCGCAUUAGCUAGUUGGUAAGGUAACGGCUUACCAAGGCAACGAUGCGUAGCCGACCUGGGAGGGUGAUCGGCCACACUGGAACUGAGACACGGUCCAGACUCCUACGGGAGGCAGCAGUAGGGAAUCUUCCGCAAUGGGCGAAAGCCUGACGGAGCAACGCCGCGUGAGUGAUGAAGGUCUUCGGAUCGUAAAACUCUGUUAUUAGGGAAGAACAAAUGUGUAAGUAACUAUGCACGUCUUGACGGUACCUAAUCAGAAAGCCACGGCUAACUACGUGCCAGCAGCCGCCGCAG
rnacentral:rRNA from 1 species